rnacentral:ribozyme from 1 species
AGCAAUACCGCACUGAUAUGGGUAUGGAUCUGAAGCCUGUCCUUCCGAAGGCUAUAUAGGCACUCCAUACCCUACUCCGACUCAAUACGUCCCCGUCGUACAGAAUGGUAACAUAUCUCUCCAAAUACCUGAGCUUGGAUAUACGGGGAAACCCAACCCCUUGGGAAGAUGGAUAAUAUGGCUAAAUUUAGCGGA